GGGUCUCGCUGCGGACUGCAGCGGGAUAUCUCUCUCCCCCCUCCUCCCUCUCCCCCGCGGCCCGCGCUCAUAUCCCUGUCGGCCAUUUUAUAUCACAUUACCGCGGCCGCCGGGCCAGUAGUACAUUUUUACAGAAAAAGACAAUUAUAGGGACUAGGGGAUUGUAAAAUGUAUACAUAAAUAACUUGUUUUGGCUGUUAAGCGUAUCUUUAGGCACGUAAAAAGUAAGUAAAUCGCUCUAGAAAUCUGAAGAAUGCUUAGGCCCUACUCAGCAAAACCAUCAGUUUGGGUUUGGAGAAGAAAUGUCAAAGAAGACGUCUUGUGAGAACUUGAAGACAUGUAAGUUGACUGACUUUAUGAUAUUUAUUGGUACGUGGUGCACAACAACCUGCUGGGGACUGAUAAACUUGUUAAUGGCAGAUUAUAGUUUAAUCGUCUGUAACUGUCGUUCUUAAUUGCACUUGAAUUAGAACUAGUGAAAGUCGGACUUGGAAGCUAAAUAAUCUAGCUAGCUCAGGGGUGAACGACAAAUCAUAGCUAAUCAACGGUGCUUUAAAUGUCACAUAUCAACAUUAAUGGCUAUUCUUCGAUCAUUUUUUAGUAUACGGGCACUAAUAAUGCGGACACGUUAAUACAACAGAACCGUCAUGCAUAUUUGUUUACAGAGUGCUAAAGAGGUAUUAUAGCUGAUUAGCAACUUGUGACUCCGUUGUUUGUUGACUGUUGUUGGAGUAUGUCUUAAGCAUUUUCUUGUAUCAUUGCCUUUUCAGGAGCAGACGAGAGUGCCUUGCAAGUCCCACUGAUGUGCUUUGUGCGUCUGACCAGAAACCACUGCAGUGAUGCUUGACAUGAUUAUUCCUCAUCCAUUGCCUGGUAAUACAGUGGAGGAACUUUGUAAGACUGUCUGCCAGCCUGCCACUCUGCCCAGCCCUCACCCAAAACAAUCACAAGAUCAAGAAUGAGCUCCUGCUGUUGACGGACCUACACCAGGCUGUGCAGUGACUGCUGACCAAUAAGGGUUGAAAGGACAGGUAGAGGAGUGGAGGUGGACAUGGAGCCCUUUGUGUUCGACUUCGAAAUACAAGAGGACACGGAGGACUUCUCGAAGGAGUGCCAGGACACGCAAAACCUAGCCGUACUGGCAACAUGUGCCCACCAUAACACUCACACAUUCCCUAAAGUUUUGGUAUCAUCAAGGUCUGUGUCUGGCAGUGCAAUGAACUUGCGCACACCUAGUGGUGUUGCGGUAAGCAACCACUUGGCCAACUGAAACAAAGAUGCGAGGCGAAUUAAUUGUUAUUACCAAAAUAUGGUCAGCAUUUCAGUGCAACAGUGUUUAGAUAAGUACCUAAUAAGCUAGUUGAGCCUGUGGAUUUGUAUUCGAUUUAUAACGGCUAACACUCAUACACAAACACACACACACACACACACUCCCAACAUUUCCUUUGACUCUCCCACACACUCCAACAUAACUCCAGUUGAGAAAAUCUUCUUUUCUAAUCUCACCAUUACGGUCUUCCUGGAUGA